CGGGGCGUAGCGCAGCCUGGAUUAGCGCGCUUGCUUGGGGUGCAAGAGGUCGGCGGUUCAAAUCCGCCCGCCCCGA
rnacentral:tRNA from 1 species